rnacentral:misc_RNA from 1 species
GUCAACACCAGUUUGCCGUCUUUAACUAGAGCUCUUCCGCCGCCACCUGGACCACCGGCGCCCGUGGCCGCCCCUGACACCGGGAUUAGCUACUCAUCCGACACAUUCACUACAUCGUCGGAUUCGGAUGGUGUGAGCGAGGGUCGGAAGCGGAAGCGCGGCCCCGAAGGGAGCCAGAAAAUGAUGAAUUUCUUUGAAGGACUGAUGAAACAGGUGAUGGAUAGGCAGGAGGCAAUGCAGCAGCGCUUCAUGGACGCCAU